rnacentral:rRNA from 1 species
GACGAACGCUGGCGGCGUGCUUAACACAUGCAAGUCGAACGGAAAGGCCCUGCUUUUGUGGGGUGCUCGAGUGGCGAACGGGUGAGUAACACGUGAGUAACCUGCCCUUGACUUUGGGAUAACUUCAGGAAACUGGGGCUAAUACCGGAUAGGAGCUCCUGCUGCAUGGUGGGGGUUGGAAAGUUUCGGCGGUUGGGGAUGGACUCGCGGCUUAUCAGCUUGUUGGUGGGGUAGUGGCUUACCAAGGCUUUGACGGGUAGCCGGCCUGAGAGGGUGACCGGCCACAUUGGGACUGAGAUACGGCCCAGACUCCUACGGGAGGCAGCAGUGGGGAAUAUUGCACAAUGGGCGGAAGCCUGAUGCAGCAACGCCGCGUGCGGGAUGACGGCCUUCGGGUUGUAAACCGCUUUCACCGGUGACGAAGCGUGAGUGACGGUAAUGGGUAAAGAAGCAACGGCUAACUACGUG